rnacentral:rRNA from 1 species
GAUGAACGCUGGCGGCGUGCCUAAUACAUGCAAGUCGAGCGAACGGACGAGAAGCUUGCUUCUCUGAUGUUAGCGGCGGACGGGUGAGUAACACGUGGAUAACCUACCUAUAAGACUGGGAUAACUUCGGGAAACCGGAUCUAAUACCGGAUAAUAUUUUGAACCGCAUGGUUCAAAAGUGAAAGACGGUCUUGCUGUCACUUAUAGAUGGAUCCGCGCUGCAUUAGCUAGUUGGUAAGGUAACGGCUUACCAAGGCAACGAUGCAUAGCCGACCUGAGAGAGUGAUCGCCGACACGGGAACUGAGACAGGGUCCAGACUCCUACGGGAGGCAGCAGUAGGGAAUCUUCCGCAAUGGGCGAAAGCCUGACGGAGCAACGCCGCGUGAGUGAUGAAGGUCUUCGGAUCGUAAAACUCUGUUAUUAGGGAAGAACAUAUGUGUAAGUAACUGUGCACAUCUUGACGGUACCUAAUCAGAAAGCCACGGCUAACUACGUG